rnacentral:piRNA from 1 species
UGGGUUGGUUUGUACUGUGAGAGUGGGA